UACGUAGGGCGCAAGCGUUGUCCGGAAUUAUUGGGCGUAAAGCGCUCGUAGGCGGGACUGGAAGUCCGUGUUGAAAGACCUCGGCUCAACUGAGGGACCGGCUCGGAUACUCUAGUUCUUGAGGCAAUCAGAGGGUGAUGGAAUUCCUGGUGUAGCGGUGAAAUGCGUAGAUAUCAGGAGGAACACCUGUGGCGAAAGCGGCUCACUGGACCAUAACUGACGCUGAUGCACGAAAGCUAGGGGAGCAAACAGG
rnacentral:rRNA from 1 species